rnacentral:rRNA from 1 species
CCUACGGGAGGCAGCAGUGGGGAAUUUUGGACAAUGGGCGCAAGCCUGAUCCAGCCAUGCCGCGUGUGGGAAGAAGGCCUUCGGGUUGUAAACCACUUUUGUCAGGGAAGAAACGGCCUUUACUAAUAUUAGGGGCUAAUGACGGUACCUGAAGAAUAAGCACCGGCUAACUACGUGCCAGCAGCCGCGGUAAUACGUAGGGUGCAAGCGUUAAUCGGAAUUACUGGGCGUAAAGCGUGCGCAGGCGGCUUUGCAAGACAGAUGUGAAAUCCCCGGGCUCAACCUGGGAACUGCAUUUGUGACUGCAUGGCUAGAGUACGGUAGAGGGGGAUGGAAUUCCGCGUGUAGCAGUGAAAUGCGUAGAUAUGCGGAGGAACACCGAUGGCGAAGGCAAUCCCCUGGACCUGUACUGACGCUCAUGCACGAAAGCGUGGGGAGCAAACAGGAUUAGAUACCCUGGUAGUCCACGCCCUAAACGAUGUCAACUGGUUGUUGGACGGCUUGCUGUUCAGUAACGAAGCUAACGCGUGAAGUUGACCCGCCGUCGGGAGGUACGGCCGCGAGGUUAGUAAACGUUAAAGGUAAAGUUAGACGGCGUGAGACGUGACCGACGGACGACGACGAGGGAGGAGG